GACGAACGCUGGCGGCGUGCCUAAUACAUGCAAGUAGAACGCUGAAGAGAGGAGCUUGCUCUUCUUGGAUGAGUUGCGAACGGGUGAGUAACGCGUAGGUAACCUGCCUUGUAGCGGGGGAUAACUAUUGGAAACGAUAGCUAAUACCGCAUAACAAUGGAUGACACAUGUCAUUUAUUUGAAAGGGGCAAUUGCUCCACUACAAGAUGGACCUGCGUUGUAUUAGCUAGUAGGUGAGGUAAUGGCUCACCUAGGCGACGAUACAUAGCCGACCUGAGAGGGUGGUCGGCCACACUGGGACUGAGACACGGCCCAGACUCCUACGGGAGGCAGCAGUAGGGAAUCUUCGGCAAGGGGGGCAACCCUGACCGAGCAACGCCGCGUGAGUGAAGAAGGUUGUCGGAUCGUAAAGCUCUGUUGUAAGUCAAGAACGGGUGUGAGAGUGGAAAGUUCACACUGUGACGGUAGCUUACCAGAAAGGGACGGCUAACUACGUG
rnacentral:rRNA from 1 species